rnacentral:rRNA from 1 species
GACGAACGCUGGCGGCGUGCUUAACACAUGCAAGUCGAACGGAAAGGCCCUGCUUUUGUGGGGUGCUCGAGUGGCGAACGGGUGAGUAACACGUGAGUAACCUGCCCUUGACUUUGGGAUAACUUCAGGAAACUGGGGCUAAUACCGGAUAGGAGCUCCUGCUGCAUGGUGGGGGUUGGAAAGUUUCGGCGGUUGGGGAUGGACUCGCGGCUUAUCAGCUUGUUGGUGGGGUAGUGGCUUACCAAGGCUUUGACGGGUAGCCGGCCUGAGAGGGUGACCGGCCACAUUGGGACUGAGAUACGGCCCAGCCUCCUCCGGGAGGCAGCAGUGGGGAAUAUUGCACAAUGGGCGGAAGCCUGAUGCAGCAACGCCGCGUGCGGGAUGACAGCCUUCGGGUUGUAACCCGCUUUCGCCUGUGACGAAGCGUGAGUGACGGUAAUGGGUAAAGAAGCACCGGCUAACUACGUG